rnacentral:rRNA from 1 species
GACGAACGCUGGCGGCGUGCCUAAUACAUGCAAGUAGCACGCAGUUGCGAACGGGUGAGUUACGCGUAGGUAACUGCCUGGUAGCGGGGGAUACCUCUUGGAAUCGAUAGCUAAUACCGCAUACUACCAGAUGGACCUUCCGUGUAUUGGCUAGUUGGUGGGGUAACGGCGCACCAAGGCAACGAUACAUAGCCGACCUGAGAGGGUGAUCGGCCACACUGGGACUGAGACACGGCCCAGCCUCCUACGGGAGGCAGCAGUAGGUAAUCUUCGGCAAUGGACGGAAGUCUGACCGAGCAACGCCGCGUGAAUGAAGAAGGUUUUCGGAUCGUAAAGCUCUGUUGUAAGAGAAGCGGUAUCUAACCAGAAAGCCACGGCUAACUACGUGCCAGCCGCCGCGGUAAUAC